UACGUAGGUGGCAAGCGUUGUCCGGAUUUACUGGGCGUAAAGAGCGCGCAGGCGGUCGGAUUAGUCGCGUGUGAAAGCCCCCGGCUCAACUGGGGAGGGUCACGCGAUACUGUUCGACUCGAAGGCAGGAGAGGGAAGUGGAAUUCCCGGUGUAGUGGUGAAAUGCGUAGAUAUCGGGAGGAACACCAGUGGCGAAGGCGACUUCCUGGCCUGUUCUUGACGCUGAGGCGCGAAAGCUAGGGGAGCAAACGGG
rnacentral:rRNA from 1 species